CAUCACUACAGUCUUGAACAGUUUCUUUCCCUCCUAGGGCUGCCACCCAUCUGAAAAAGUAGGGGACUGCACUAGGCUGGGAUGGUACAGGUUCCAUUGGGCAUGCUACUUCUGGUUGAUUAGUAUUGCCUGCUUGUAUUAAGACUGAGUGGGAGUGCUGUGAUUGACUGAUGCUGUCUGCCAUGGGUUCCAUAUGAAGAGUUACUGCAAGGCUUGUCAACACUGGAGCUUCUCAUACAAUGUCUUAAAUCCAAGGCAAUGUGGUAGAACAGAAAGAACAGUGAACCAGAACUGCAAAUCUUAAAUGAGCUGUGUGACUUUGGGGAGUGCAACCAGACUCUAAGCUGGAUGGAUCAAUUGUGUUCUCCGUUCUCUCCCUGGCUCCCAACAUGGCCCCUGGCACUGAAGGUACACGAUUGGCUGUUUGGCCAAAAGAAUAACACAGCCAGGGUGAAUUACCAAUUCAGCCUUCCAACAAAAGGCUUCCUGAUCACCUACUAUGUACUCACCAGGUAACUCAGGGAGUAGACACCAGACCUGUGCUUAGAGACCUUGUGAUUGUAUAAAGAAAGUAAAGUACAUAAAAAUCUUAUUUGUUGAA